rnacentral:rRNA from 1 species
GGAUCGGGCGGUUCCCCCUUCGGGGGGACAGGGUGACAGGUGGUGCAUGGUUGUCGUCAGCUCGCGUCGUGAGAUGUUGGGUUAAGUCCCGCAACGAGCGCAACCCUCGACCUUAGUUGCCAGCAUUCAGUUGGGCACUCUAAGGUGACUGCCGGCUAAAAGUCGGAGGAAGGUGGGGAUGACGUCAAAUCAUCAUGCCCCUUAUGACCUGGGCUACACACGUGCUACAAUGGGCGGUACAAAGGGUCGCGAACCCGCGAGGGGGAGCCAAUCCCAAAAAGCCGCUCUCAGUUCGGAUUGCAGGCUGCAACUCGCCUGCAUGAAGCCGGAAUCGCUAGUAAUCGCGGAUCAGCAUGCCGCGGUGAAUACGUUCCCGGGCCUU